rnacentral:rRNA from 1 species
UGGGGAAUCUUGCGCAAUGGGCGAAAGCCUGACGCAGCAACGCCGUGUGAGCGAUGAAGGCCCUCGGGUCGUAAAGCUCUGUCGGAAGGAAAGAUGGAUAUUAGGGUUAAUACCCCUAGUUUUUGACGGUACCUUCAAAGGAAGCACCGGCUAACUCUGUGCCAGCAGCCGCGGUAAUACAGAGGGUGCAAGCGUUGUUCGGAAUCAUUGGGCGUAAAGCGCGCGUAGGCGGUUUCAUAAGUCUGAUGUGAAAGCCCGGGGCUCAACCUCGGAAGUGCAUCGGAAACUGUGUGACUAGAGUCCUGGAGGGGGUGGUGGAAUUCCUGGUGUAGAGGUGAAAUUCGUAGAUAUCAGGAGGAACACCGGUGGCGAAGGCGACCACCUGGACAGUGACUGACGCUGAGGCGCGAAAGCGUGGGUAGCAAACAGG